rnacentral:rRNA from 1 species
CAUUUUCAUUAGCGGAGGAAAAGAAACCAACAGGGAUUGCCUCAGUAACGGCGAGUGAAGCGGCAAAAGCUCAAAUUUGAAAUCCCCCGGGAAUUGUAAUUUGAAGGUGGUCUCAGUUAGAUUAAAACAUGCUUAAGUCCAUUGGAAAAUGGCGCCAUGGAGGGUGAUAGCCCCGUAAAGCAUUGUUCAAUCUAUUUUCUUUGGCCACCAAAGAGUCGAGUUGUUUGGGAAUGCAGCUCUAAGUGGGUGGUAAAUUCCAUCUAAAGCUAAAUAUUGGCGAGAGACCGAUAGCGAACAAGUACAGUGAUGGAAAGAUGAAAAGCACUUUGAAAAGAGAGUGAAAAAGUACGUGAAAUUGUUGAAAGGGAAGGGCUUGCAAGCAGACACAACCUCGGUUGGGCCAGCAUCGGGGCGGGGGGAAGCAAAAAGGCGCGGAAAUGUAACUCCUUUUUGGAGUAUUAUAGUCCGUCGCUCAUACUUCCAUCCCAUCCCGAGGCCUGCGGUAUUCUCCUAGGAUGCUGGCGUAAUGGUUGCAAGUCGCCCGUCUUGAACCACGGGACCAA